rnacentral:rRNA from 1 species
CUUCCGCAAUGGACGAAGUCUGACGGAGCACGCCGCGUGAGUGAUGAAGGCUUUCGGGUCGUAAAACUCUGUUGUUAGGGAAGAACAAGUGCUAGUUGAAUAAGCUGGCACCUUGACGGUACCUAACCAGAAAGCCACGGCUAACUACGUGCCAGCAGCCGCGGUAAUACGUAGGUGGCAAGCGUUAUCCGGAAUUAUUGGGCGUAAAGCGCGCGCAGGUGGUUUCUUANGUCUGAUGUGAAACCCCACGGCUCACCGUGGAGGGUCAUUGGAAACUGGGANACUUGAGUGCAAAAAAGAAAGUGGACUCCAUGUGUAUCGGUGAAAUGCGUAAAGAUAUGGAGNACUCCAGUGGCGAAGGCGACUUUCUGGUCUGUAACUGACNCUGAGGCGCGAAACGUGGGGAGCAAACAGGAUAAAUACCUGGUAUCCCCCCGUAACGAUGAGUGCUAAAUGUUAAGGGUUUCCCCCUUUAGUGCUGAAUUAACCCAUUANCCCCCCCCGGGGAUACGGCCCCCAGGCU